rnacentral:rRNA from 1 species
AGCGAACGCUGGCGGCAGGCCUAACACAUGCAAGUCGAACGAACCUUUCGGGGUUAGUGGCGGACGGGUGAGUAACACGUGGGAACGUGCCUUUAGGUUCGGAAUAACUCAGGGAAACUUGUGCUAAUACCGAAUGUGCCCUUCGGGGGAAAGAUUUAUCGCCUUUAGAGCGGCCCGCGUCUGAUUAGCUAGUUGGUUGAGGUAAUGGCUCACCAAGGCGACGAUCAGUAGCUGGUCUGAGAGGAUGAUCAGCCACAUUGGGACUGAGACACGGCCCAAAAUACUACGGGAGGCAGCAGUGGGGAAUCUUGCGCAAUGGGCGAAAGCCUGACGCAGCCAUGCCGCGUGAAUGAUGAAGGUCUUAGGAUUGUAAAAUUCUUUCACCGGGGACGAUAAUGACGGUACCCGGAGAAGAAGCCCCGGCUAACUUCGUG